UUGGGAGCGCCCGCAACACUAUGGAGUGAUGGGUAGACCUCUUCCGCCUGGAUGGAACGGUGGUGGCUUCUCCAACAUCCCUAACCCUACGGGAAGUUCAGCAAAUUUCUCAUCGCAAGGAUGCGCUGAUUCCGCGUUGCAGUUUCUGCAUGCCUGGGUUUGGAAGAAGGGCUCUUUUACCUCCGAGGGAGAAGGCGAUCUAAAAUAGAAGAUUAGUUUAUGUCUCUACUCUGUACAGGGUGAAGGACAUCAAAUACAAUUGUGUCCACCUUCGGCAAAAUAUGCACAACUUCAUGGCUUAACUUCAUGUUCUAGCAUCUCUUUUGCCAACAUUCUUCUCGUUUGCCGAUAUGUUGGUUCUUUACUUAAAUGCAAGAAUACAUGGUUAUCUGCUGAGCAGGUAGUUUCUUUCAGGUGCAUCUAUAUAACUAAUGUGCCAAGCAUUAGUUUCUCUGCAGUUAGAGAAUAUGAGAUUCAUGAAUAGAAAUUCUUUUUAAGUUCUCUGAUAGAUCUGGCUGUGUUCUUUGCUAAGAAAUAAUAGCUUGGCAGUAAUAGAACAAGAUUUAUAGAUGGGAAAGGAUUUUAACCUUCUAGUUUAGGGAGGAAGAAUGAUUAUUCUCGACAUGGAUUUAUAAAGUUGAGAACAGCUAUUCAAUCUAGUUCACUUUACCCCUUAAAAACAAUAUUUACAUGAUAGUACUUAGAAUGCUGACUGAUGAUCGACAUAUGGCAAGACUAUAAGAACAUGGAACUCAAUUAUGAACCAUAGGUGAGCAUUUUUUCCCCUCAAAUAUUCCCUCAAAAGAAGUUAUCCGGUAUGGUUGCAAAAGAAUAUUACAAAGCUUCAAAAUUUUUUCUCCAUGUUGGAAAGUAAUCUCCAUAUUGUUCAAACUAAGCAUGAAAACAAUGAGAAAGUUGCAAGUUCAUAUCGUCCAUGAUCAAGAGACUUUGAGCUUUUCCUAGAAGAUCCGUCUGGAGAUGCUGGAAGGUCUUUGGAACCUAUCUGCUGUGGCAAUUUCUUUGAAUCAGUCGGUAUCGCUAAAAUGUAUUACAGGCAUUAGUUGACAUAAGAUUGUCCAACUCUGUCAUGAAGUUCAGAAACGUUUACACCGUCAGUUGCCAUUGAGAUGAUCUAUUCUCCACCUACCUCAUAUCCCCACAAGCAAGAUUUGUACAUGAGACUUAUGAAUAGGUUCACUAGAUAGCUUCUCAGUGCUUUCUCUCUCCCUUUUUCCAUGAUUCUCUUGUGCUCUUCUCGAUACCCCUCAAAGAAAAGAAAAAGAAAGCUUCUGCUCAUCGUGUAUGAUUUCUCCACCAUAUCAAGUAUUGGGUACAUUGACAAGUUCAAACAACACUGGUCCUCUCACUUCUCUUUUCCAUUCUCAGAUUAAUAGAACACAUCUCUUCUUUUCUUUGGAUUUGUCUCAGGGUUCCCUUUUCUCAUCAUAGCUGCAAACUCAUCAUAAUUUAUUCUUCCAUCCUGCAUGUUGACAGUGAUUUAGAUCAGAAUUGUGUUUUCCCAGACUGCUACUAAUAUACUAGAUGGCUAGACAGGUUCUAGUAAUAUUCUGCAUUGCCUCUUUCUACUUACAUUGUCAACAUCAGCUUCAGCAAUUAUAUCCUUGAUUUCCUUGCCGUCGUAUAGUCCUUUCUCUUUUAGAGCUUGCUCAAGUUCUUCCUUUGUGAUAUAACUAUAGAAAGAAAAAGGUGUUAGUAUUCAGUUAGGUCACCAAUGUGUCUAAUUUAUUAUCCAAUGCAUCAUUAAAACUAUUUCAUUGUAUAUUGUUUUAUAUAAAAUCAAUGUGUUAUGCUGUUGUUUUGCACAAAACCUACCCGCUGUUGUCCUUAUCAAAGUACUGAAAUGCUGUAUAUAGAUGCUCUUCUCUAUCCAUUCUGUUCAUGUGCAUUGUCGCUGUAAUAAAUUCCUCAUAGUCGAUAGUUCCGUUCCCAUCUGCAUCAGCCUGUGUUAAGUGUAUUAGAUUAGAUGGUACAACGAUUAGAUUCUUUCUAUCUGGGUUGAUUGAUUGAAUUUGUCAGUAAAAUUUUGGGUGCAUAUAGAACUCACAGCUUCCAUCAGCUGUUUGACUUCAUACUCCGACAGCUUUGUUCCUUGCUUGGAAAGACCUUGUUUUAGUUCUUCGAGAGUUAUAGUUCCACUAUUGUCAGAGUCCAUAUUCUUAAACAUUUCCUUCAGCCCUUUGAUCUCUUCCUCUGAUAAACAUCCUGCUAUUACCUGCACAUAUUGACAGCAAACUCAUUGAUAGUAUCAACUACAGGCCUUGCCAGUUUGAGUGCCUUAUUUUCUUUCCUCUCUCUAAGAAGUCUGAAGAGCUUUCAAGUCAUGAGGAUCAACGGUGAGAAGUAUAUUGUAGGAUAUCCAGGUAGACAUUCUUUCAUGUUGUUAGACACAAAUUUAGUCACCAAGCUUUCCAUUAGUGAACCUUGAAUUAUGUCACCAAAUAAUUCUAGUCAAACAUAUAGCGAAUUUUGCAGACAUUGGGUUAAUACAAUCUGUGAAUGGGGAAACAAGAAAUUUACCCUUAGGGCAGCUUUCUUAAACUGGUUCAUUGCUCUAAAUUGUUUCAGCCUGUUGAGGACAGCAUUGUCAAGUGGUGUGUCAGGUGCUUCUCCAUCUUCCUUGAUCCAUGGAUGGUCUGUAUUGUAAGUCCAUAAUCAGACAAGACAGUUUGCAUGAGAUUUCCUAUGUGUUUGCAUAGUAAAGAUAUUCUUGGUUCAAAACACAUGGAAAGAGCUUGUAUUUAGGGUGGAAGAUUCUCAAAAUAGACUAUAUGUGGGUUUUUUUUGUCUUAAUAUGUAAGCAUUCCUUGAUCUUGUCUGGAUGUAAAAACCAAGGAAGAUGUUUGACUGCCAAACCAGGCCUCAACCUGGUGGUGGCAAGAUGUUUGACUAAAUUACACAGGCAAAAUUUUAUUUUAUCUCUUCUUUCUCUAAUUGUAAUUUAUGACUCCAAGAUUUUUAGACAACUAACUUAGUUUGCUAGUGAAUCACAAAAUAGAUAUCAUUGAGUUGCAUGAAAAUUGGUCAUACUGAGAACUUCAAAUGCUGUCAGCCUCUGUCUGGGGUCCAAGUUCAGCAUCUUUCUCACAAGAUCCUUAGCACCAGGUGAAAUGUUAGGCCAUGGGUCACUUGUAAAGUCAAUCUGCCCCCCUAGAAUAGUAUUGAAGAUCCCCUGCUCAGACUCUGAUAGAAUAAAUAUUAGUUUGACUUUUUGGUUUCAUGACUUUGGCAGCACAAACAAGAAUUAUUUGAAUAGAUGAAGAAGCACCAGCCCAGAAUGGAGGAACUCCACAGAGAAAAAUGUAAAGCAUCACUCCUAUGCUCCAAAUAUCAGCUUCUGGCCCAUAUCUUCGCUUGAGGACCUCAGGUGCUAUGUAAUAUGCACUGCCAACUAUGUCUUUGAAUACCUCACCUGUUCAGGAGAGAUCUUAAUUUAGCUGAUAGCUAGAUGAUCCAGAAGUGGAUGAAUUGCAAUCAGGAUUGCAUCAGAUGCUGCAAAACCAAAACAUGAAAACAAUUGCUCCAAAGACCAAAAAAAAAGAGAGAGAAGAUGACAUACUACCAAAGCAAGGAAAAGAGAAUCUUCCCAAGUAGGAAAUAUUUAGUGACUGCAAGUUCCAGGUAGGAAACAUUAAGAUGUCCUUCACACUGUGUUCUGGGUAUCAAUAUCAUCAAGAAGACUUUACAUAAAGAUACAUCCUGGGUGAUGGUUUAUAUUAGUAGAAGAAAGAUUGCAACUUUGCUUUCUUGUAUCAUUGUUUGAACCACAUAUCAUAUAUAUGUUGCAAGAAAAAAGUUGAAGCCGAAGCAAGUUAGAAGACAUAAUAAUGAGAUUUAUGCUCAUGUAAAUGCUGAGUUUUUAGGGGGUGGAUGUAUGUCCUGUUUAUAUAUAGAAUAAGAAUGAAGGCUUUUCGGUGCUUCUUCUUCCUUUACCAUUCAAAUGCAGUUUUCUUUCUUUCAAAUGACUUCCCUUGUUCUUUGUAGAAGCAAACACAGUUUCGUCGAACAUGUGGUGGACAAAAAGGCGGAAGAGGAGGGGAAGAAGAAGGAAGAAGAAAAGAGAACUGAAUCGAAUCAAUGGAGGGGCACAGAGGAACUAAACCUUGCUUGAAGAAAACAGAGAGCCCAAAGUCGGUGGCCUUGAGCGGCGCAUCCUCAUCCUUGUUCAGCAAGAGGAAGUUCUCGGGCUUGAGGUCCCUAUGCAUCACCCCCAUGGAAUGGCAGGUGUGGACGAUCUGCACGAUCGUCCUCAGCAGCGACGCGGCCGCCCGCUCCGUGUAGUGGCCCCUGGCGAUGAUGCGAUCGAACAGCUCCCCUCCCGCGCACAGCUCCAUGACGAGGUGCACCGACUGCUUGUCCUCGAAAGCCCCCUUCAGCUCCACGAUGUUGGGCUGCCCCGACAGGCGUACUUGUCCCCGGUGGCCUUGUGGGUGCAAAGAUGGGUGACGCCGAACUGGCCGCGCCCCAGCUCCUUCCCGAGGGAGUAAGUGGCGCGGACGUCCUCCAUGGGCCGGCCGAGCACGGGGCCGAUGGGAGCGGCCGGCUUAGGGGGCGGGCUGAAGGCGGCGGUGGGUACG